rnacentral:lncRNA from 1 species
ACUAACUGUAUUUUUGUCUCUCAAAGACACGUCCUAUUUCUAAAGAUACAUAACUUUGAAGUCAAUUCAUACACUUUAAAUCCAAAGCUGAUAAGAAUGAACAAAACCAAAAUUUACAACUCAGCCUUAUCAUCUUUUCUCCACCUUCUUUUCACACAAAUUUUCAACGAAUCUUGCUCACUUUUUUGCUUCUUGGUAUCAACUUACCGAAACCAUUACAAUUUAGUUUAAUGAAUUUACAACUCAG